rnacentral:rRNA from 1 species
GUAGCUGCGAGCGAACAGGGAUUAGCCCAGCACCGAAUCCCGCGGCCGAUAUCGGACGCCGGGAAAUGUGGUGUUCGGGAGGGUCCAUUUAUCCCGAGAUUAUGCGGUACGUCCAAGUCCUUCUUGAACGGGGCCACAGCCCAUAGAGGGUGCCAGGCCCGUAGCGACUGCCGCUGAUCGCGGGAGGAUCCCUCCUUAGAGUCGGGUUGCUUGAGAGUGCAGCCCUAAGCGGGUGGUAAACUCCAUCUAAGGCUAAAUAUGACCACGAGACCGAUAGCGAACAAGUACCGUGAGGGAAAGUUGAAAAGCACUUUGAAGAGAGAGUUCAAGAGUACGUGAAACCGUUUAGGGGUAAACCUGAGAAACCCGAAAGGUCGAAGGGAGAAAUUCAUUCGUGUUUCGCGACAGGCGUUGGACGGUCGAGUGACGGAUAGAUCGUUCGCGAACUAUCCGCACCUUUCGUUUUUCGAUCCGGACGCGAACGCGUGCACUUUUCUCCUGGUAGGACGUCGCGAUCCGUUGGGUGUCGGUCUACGGCACGCGGUGGAGCCCGUCCGUCGUUUUAACGAACGUACGGAUGGACCCGCGUGGCCCGGCCGACCCGCUCGACGGUAUACGAAAGGUUAGAGGCCGCUCGAUUAUGAAGCGUUCGACUCGUGGCAAGCGCGCCAGAUGUGUCGGCGAUCGGACCCGGUGCCGAUUCUGACCUCUGGUGACUGUUGGCUACGAAGUUCUCGAACAGACCUCGUUGACCGAUCUGCGACGCUAUAGCUUUGGGUACUUUCAGGACCCGUCUUGAAACACGGACCAAGGAGUCUAGCAUGUGCGCGAGUCAUUGGGAAUCACUAAACCUAAAGGCGUAAUGAAAGUAAAGGUCUUCCUCGCGAGGACUGAGGGAAGACGGGCGGUUUACCCUUAAAAGUGGCCGCCCCGCACUCCCGGGGCGUCUCGUUCUCAUUGCGAGAAGAGGCGCACCAUGAGCGUACACGCUGGGACCCGAAAGAUGGUGAACUAUGCCUGGUCAGGACGAAGUCAGGGGAAACCCUGAUGGAGGUCCGUAGCGAUUCUGACGUGCAAAUCGAUCGUCGGAACUGGGUAUAGGGGCGAAAGACUAAUCGAACCAUCUAGUAGCUGGUUCCCUCCGAAGUUUCCCUCAGGAUAGCUGGCGCUCGUCGCGUACGAGUCUCAUCCGGUAAAGCGAAUGAUUAGAGGCAUUGGGGUCGAAACGACCUCAACCUAUUCUCAAACUUUAAAUGGGUGAG